GCGCGGGCCUGUACGCGGACCCCCGGGAAUGUCGAUAGCCGCAUUCUUUGUGCGAUUUUUAAAAUAAAAACAUACGCCCGUGACGUCGUCGUCGUAACGUCGAACCGCUUUUAAUUUGAAAAUUAAUUAAUUUUUUUGAUAAAUUGCUGGCGAAGUACGUUAAAUAUUUAUCGAACAUAUUACUAUUAUUAUCGUUAUAAUAAUUCAACGGUCGGAAACAGCGACGUUACUGUAUCGUGGUAUCCCCUCCCCCACUAUUUUUCAUUUUAAUAGCCAUUCCAGUAGCUGAUGUCUCGACGGAGGGGUGUUCAAGACGCCUAGGUGUCAUGGUGGAAAUUUAGUGGGUGACCUAACCCAUCGGUUAGAAGAACGUCAACAAUAGAUAUUCGGUAAUAAUUAGGGCCCAGAUUUAAAUGCAUUUAAAAUCCACAAAACAAGCACUUCAAAAUGGCAAGUAAGAUAUUAAAAAAGCCUUUUAAAUAGCAACAAAUUGUGUUUAUAUAGGUUUAAAAAAUAUCCUCUCUAA